rnacentral:lncRNA from 1 species
GCAUUUGCUUGGUAUUGGGUUUCAAUAUCUAGUUUUGUACCCAGCUCUCUUGAGGGUUGUGGAGUGUAGCUAGUAUUGAACAUGGAGAUCAAUUAUGCUCUGGCAUUGCUCUUAGUCCUCAUUCUCAACUUGGGUAGUUUGCUCACUUCUCUUGCUAACUCCUAUUGCCCACCACCAACAUACCCUCCAGUUCCUCACUUGCCACCCAAACACCCUCCCCAUGUAACUCCACCCUUCCACCCUAAACCACCAAAGAAGCCACCACCAUAUGUCAAACCACCUCAUGCAAAGCCUCCUCCUCAUGUACCAAUCAAACCCCCUCAUGUUAAACCACCCAUUGUAAAACCACCUCCUUAUCCGAAACCUCCAGUUGCCAAACCACCUCCCCAUCCCAAACCUCCUGUUGUCAAACCACCUCCCCAUCCCAAACCUCCUGUUGUCAAACCACCUCCCCAUCCCAAACCUCCUGUUGUCAAACCACCUCCCUAUCCCAAACCUCCUGUUGUCAAACCACCUCACCUAUCCCAAACCUCCUGUUGUCAAACCACCCUCCCUAUCCCAAACCUCCUGUUGUCAAACCACCUCCCUAUCCCAAACCUCCUGUUGUCAAACCACCUCACCAUCCCAAGCCUCCUGUUGUCAAACCACCUCCCCAUCCCAAACCUCCUGUUGUCAAGCCUCCAGUUGUCAAACCACCUCCCCAUCCCAAACCACCAGUUGUACUGCCUCCACCAUAUACCCCGAAGCCCCGGUUGUACUGCCUUCCACCAUAUACCCCGAAGCCCCCGGUUGUGCUGCCUCCACCAUAUACCCCGAAGCCCCCGGUUGUGGCCUCCACCAUAUCCCCCGAACCCCCCCGGUGUAUGUGCUGCCUCCACCAUAUACCCCGAAGCCCCCGGUUGUACUGCCUCCACCAUAUACCCCGAAGCCCCCGGUUGUACUGCCUCCACCAUAUACCCCGAAGCCCCCGGUUGUACUGCCUCCACCAUAUACCCCGAAGCCCCCGGUUGUACUGCCUCCACCAUAUACCCCGAAGCCCCCAGUUGUACUGCCUCCACCAUAUACCCCCAAGCCCCCAGUUGUACUGCCUCCACCAUAUACCCCCAAGCCCCCAGUUGUACUGCCUCCACCUUCACCACCUGUUGUAGUGCCAAGCCCACCAUCAACACCAACCCCAACCCCAGUUGUCCCAGUGAAGCCUCCUCCACCCACUGAAACACCAUGCCCUCCUCCACCACCAAAGGUAGUACCACCCCCAACAUCACCACCUCCAAAGUCGCCACCGAAGGACACGUGCCCCAUCGACACCUUAAAGUUGGGAGCUUGUGUAGAUGUGCUGGGUGGACUUAUCCAC